GCCCAGACUCCUACGGGAGGCAGCAGUGGGGAAUAUUGGGCAAUGGGCGCAAGCCUGACCCAGCAACGCCGCGUGAAGGAAGAAGGCUUUCGGGUUGUAAACUUCUUUUAAGAGGGAAGAGUAGAAGACGGUACCUCUUGAAUAAGCCACGGCUAACUACGUGCCAGCAGCCGCGGUAAUACGUAGGUGGCAAGCGUUGUCCGGAUUUACUGGGUGUAAAGGGCGUGUAACCGGGCCGGCAAGUCAGAUGUGAAAUCCCAAGGCUCAACCUUGGAACUGCAUUUGAAACUGUUGGUCUUGAGUAUCGGAGAGGCAGGCGGAAUUCCUGGUGUAGCGGUGAAAUGCGUAGAUAUCAGGAGGAACACCGGCGGCGAAGGCGGCCUGCUGGACCGUGACUGACGUUGAGGCUCGAGAGCGUGGGGAGCAAACAGGAUUAGAUACCCGGGUA
rnacentral:rRNA from 1 species